GAUGAAGAACGCAGCGAAAUGCGAUAAGUAAUGUGAAUUGCAGAAUUCAGUGAAUCAUCGAAUCUUUGAACGCACAUUGCGCCCGCCAGUAUUCUGGCGGGCAUGCCUGUUCGAGCGUCAUUACAACCCUCAGGCCCCCGGGCCUGGCGUUGGGGAUCGGCGAGGCGCCCCCCGCGGGCACGCGCCGUCCCCCAAAUACAGUGGCGGUCCCGCCGCAGCUUCCAUUGCGUAGUAGCUAACACCUCGCAACUGGAGAGCGGCGCGGCCAUGCCGUAAAACACCCAACUUCUGAAUGUUGACCUCGAAUCAGGUAGGAAUACCCGCUGAACUUAAGCAUAUCAAAAGCGGAGGA
rnacentral:misc_RNA from 1 species